GGGAAGGGGCUUUAAUCAUGUAAAUCUGGCAGCCGUUGAAGCAAAGCAUUUCGCUUGGCUGCUUCCUUAAGGGCCCCUAUCCAGUGAGUUGCCUUUGUUUCCUUAGCCGACUGAAAGCCAGUUUAUCCCCGGCUUGGACUGAACCAGGAUGAAGACUUUUCUUUCAACAGUGCGACCUGAGUAAUGUAAGACAAUUCUGACUGGAAUUAAACUUACUUGAUGCUGAUGGCAAAUUCAGUUGCAUCUUUGAUUCUCUGCCGCACCAGCCCUGAAACCUUCUCCCAAGCCUUUGGAAGCAGAACACACAGACCCAGAUGCUGCC